UACAGGGGGGGCAAGCGUUGUUCGGAAUUACUGGGCGUAAAGGGCCAGUAGGCGGCCAACUAAGUCACACGUGAAAUCCCCAGGCUUAACCUGGGAACUGCGUGUGAUACUGGAUGGCUUGAAUUCGGGAGAGGGAUGCAGAAUUCCAGGUGUAGCGGUGAAAUGCGUAGAUAUCUGGAGGAAUACCGGUGGCAAAGGCGGCAUCCUGGACCGACAUUGACGCUGAACGGCGAAAGCUAGGGGAGCAAACGGG
rnacentral:rRNA from 1 species